GGGAAUCUUCCGCAAUGGGCGAAAGCCUGAUGGAGCAACGCCGCGUGAGUGAAGAAGGUCUUAGGAUUGUAAAGCUCUGUCCUUAGGGAAGAACCGUGGGUAUAGAAAAUGAUACCCACCUGACGGUACCUUUGGAGGAAGCACUGGCUAACUACGUGCCAGCAGCCGCGGUAAUACGUAGAGUGCAAGCGUUGUCCGGAAUUAUUGGGCGUAAAGGGUACGCAGGCGGAUAAUCAAGUCAAGCGUGAAAGGUGUCGGCUUAACCGACAGACUGCGUUUGAAACUGGUUAUCUUGAGUGUAACAGAGGAGAGUGGAAUUCCUAGUGUAGUGGUGAAAUACGUAGAUAUUAGGAAGAACACCAGUGGCGAAGGCGACUCUCUGGGUUAACACUGACGCUGAGGUACGAAAGCUGGGGGAGCGAAAGGGAUUAGAUACCCCUGUAGUC
rnacentral:rRNA from 1 species